rnacentral:rRNA from 1 species
CCUACGGGUGGCAGCAGUGGGGAAUAUUGCGCAAUGGGGGCAACCCUGAUGCAGCGACGCCGCGUGAGUGAAGAAGGCCUUCGGUUUGUAAAGCUCUUUCAUCGGGGAAGAAAAUUACGGUUACUGGGAGAGUAGCCCCGGCUAAAUACGUGCCAGCAGCCCCCGGAAUUCGUAGGGGGCAAGUGUUAUCCGGAUUUACUGGGUGUAAAGGGGGCGGAGGCGGCGGAGCAAGUCUGGAGUGAAAGGCGGGGGCUUAACCCCCGGACUGCUCUUGAAACUGUACGGCUUGAGUGCAGGAGAGGCAAGUGGAAUUCCUAGUGUAGCGGUGAAAUGCGUAGAUAUUAGGAGGAACACCAGUGGCGAAGGCGGCCUACUGGACUGUAACUGACGCUGAGGCGCGAAAGCGUGGGGAGCAAACAGGAUUAGAUACCCCAGUAGUC